UACGUAGGGUGCAAGCGUUAUCCGGAAUUAUUGGGCGUAAAGAGCUCGUAGGCGGUUUGUCGCGUCUGCCGUGAAAGUCCGGGGCUCAACUCCGGAUCUGCGGUGGGUACGGGCAGACUAGAGUGAUGUAGGGGAGACUGGAAUUCCUGGUGUAGCGGUGAAAUGCGCAGAUAUCAGGAGGAACACCGAUGGCGAAGGCAGGUCUCUGGGCAGUAACUGACGCUGAGGAGCGAAAGCGUGGGGAGCGAACAGG
rnacentral:rRNA from 1 species